rnacentral:lncRNA from 1 species
ACAAACAAAAAGUAUUAAUCCUCAACGAAAAGUACAAUUCUAGACGGAUUUUUUGUGACUAAUCAUGUACAAAUAAAUAUUUAAAUCCAGAUGUAAAAAUGGGAACAAGUCAGAAAAAGUUAUGCCCUUGAACAAGAAAAACUAUUUGAAUUCGAAGACUAAACAUUUACAGGUUAUUUGCUCUCAGGCGCAGAGCCAAAAAUGCAGAUAAAAUAUUCCUAAUGGGAAACUUUGCCCCACCAAAUUAGAAAGUUUAAACUACCAGAUUGAAUGACAAAUUAUACAGUAAACCAGCAAUAUACCCUCAAUAGAUUAUUGAAAAUCGAAAGAAUGAUAGCUCGACCACAACCCAUCAACUUCAAUAUCAAGCAUAGAGAAUUGAGAACCUGUGCCGCCAAUAUCAUUGCCAAAGGGGGCAGGUGCAGCGUUAGGGCCAAUUUAUAGCUAUUCCAGUAGAGAUGCCUCAACACAUAACUGCCACUUUUCGAGGACCAAAAAUGCCUCCAAAUUCCAAAUACAAUAUCUGGUGCUAAGAGUCCCUAACCUUUAUUCCGAAUUUGAAUCAAUAGAAAGGUACAAGCGGGGCCUUACAGAACGUUUUUGGCGAGGAAAUGUAACAGGGCUACCUGGCCUUUGUUUAGCUGCUUUGUCAGAUCUCACAUCAUUGAUACCAAGAAGCAAAGAAGCUGCACAAGGAAGGAGAAAUGAUUAAUGAAGAAAUAAUGCCAAACUCGGAAAUCAAAACGCAAUUAAUAAUCUGAUCGAGAACAAAAAAGGGAACCAUAAAUAAUGCAGAAGGUAAAAAGUUACUGGAUAGAGAUGUACAUGUAUGUAUAAAGGAAACACUAACAUCGUUGACUUUCUAUACAGGAGGUUAGCAUCAUCCACAUUAUUCAAAAAUUAAAAUAGCCAUUUAUACUUUCUAACUAAGCAAACAAAAUAUUGGCAUUUGGCUCACUUUGUUAAUAGUAGAAUGAAACACCUCUUCCUCAAACUAUUCAUAUGACGUGGAAGACUAACACAGCCACACGGAGUACUUUUGACAAAUUCACAACAAACUCCUAGGUUUCUAUGCACAUUAUCGAGGGAGGUUAGAUAAACAUAUGAUAUUUUAGUGAAAUCACCUUAAACACAAUACAUAUUGAGAAAGGAUUGUUGAUAUUGUGAACCCUACCUAAGAUGUAGAUUCCAAUACAGAUGCAACCAUUGAGUCUCCAAGCCAUAUCGCCUUGCGAUUCGCAGUGUCUUUGUCUGCAGUAAAAAAUAAUAGGACCAAAUAGAACCACUAAGCCCUAAUUCGUGCACCCAACUUAGCCUAAAAUUAAGCAUGAACCAACACUGACAUACUUCACAUUCUCAACACUUUCCUCAAUUUGGAUAUACAAGCUGUAAGGAAGUAAAGUAUUGCAAUAGUAGUCAUUCAACUGGUUGAAAACAUGCACUAAUCAAAAUUCGCUUAUGUGUAGGGGAACCAACCUAUGGUCUAAGAGGUGUGAAAAUUGGUUGAUCCAACAAAUGCANNNNN